UGGGGAAUAUUGCACAAUGGGCGAAAGCCUGAUGCAGCAACGCCGCGUGCGGGAUGACGGCCUUCGGGUUGUAAACCGCUUUCAGCAGGGACGAAGGUUUUCUGACGGUACCUGCAGAAGAAGCACCGGCUAACUACGUGCCAGCAGCCGCGGUGAUACGUAGGGUGCGAGCGUUGUCCGGAAUUAUUGGGCGUAAAGAGCUUGUAGGCGGUCCGUUGCGUCGGAAGUGAAAACUCAGGGCUUAACCCUGAGCCUGCUUUCGAUACGGGCGGACUUGAGGGAUGUAGGGGAGAACGGAAUUCCUGGUGGAGCGGUGGAAUGCGCAGAUAUCAGGAGGAACACCAGUGGCGAAGGCGGUUCUCUGGACAUUUCCUGACGCUGAGAAGCGAAAGCGUGGGGAGCAAACAGGCUUAGAUACCCUGGUAGUCCACGCCGUAAACGGUGGCACUAGGUGUGGGACCCAUUCCACGGGUUCCGUGCCGUAGCUAACGCAUUAAGUGCCCCGCCUGGGGAGUACGGCCGCAAGGCUAAAACUCAAA
rnacentral:rRNA from 1 species